rnacentral:rRNA from 1 species
GAAGUUUGGACCGUGUCUCAGUUCCAAUGUGGCCGAUCACCCUCUCAGGUCGGCUACUGAUCGUCACCUUGGUGAGCCGUUACCUCACCAACUACCUAAUCGGACGCAUCCCCAUCCAUGGCCGGUAAACCUUUAGUCCUCGUUAGAUGUCUGCAAAGGACGCCAUAGGGCAUUAAUCCGCUUUUCAACGGGCUAUUCCCCAGCCAUGGGCAGGUUGGAUACGCGUUACUCACCCGUGCGCCGGUCGCCAUCAGAGUCUGCAAGCAAACCCUAUGCUGCCCCUCGACUUGCAUGUGUUAAGCCUGUAGCUAGCGUUCAUC